rnacentral:rRNA from 1 species
GGAGGAAAGUAGGGGAUCGCAAGACCUUGCGCUUUUGGAGCGGCCGAUGCCUGAUUAGCUUGUUGGUGAGGUAAAAGCUCACCAAGGCUCCGAUCAGUAGCUGGUCUGAGAGGACGACCAGCCACACUGGGACUGAGACACGGCCCAGACUCCUACGGGAGGCAGCAGUGGGGAAUUUUGGACAAUGGGGGCAACCCUGAUCCAGCCAUGCCGCGUGAGUGAAGAAGGCCUUCGGGUUGUAAAGCUCUUUCAGCCGGAACGAAACGGUCACGGUUAAUACCCGUGACUACUGACGGUACCGGAAGAAGAAGCACCGGCUAACUACGUGCCAGCAGCCGCGGUAAUACGUAGGGUGCGAGCGUUAAUCGGAAUUACUGGGCGUAAAGCGUGCGCAGGCGGUUUUGUAAGUCAGAUGUGAAAUCCCCGGGCUUAACCUGGGAACUGCGUUUGAAACUACAAGGCUAG